UACGUAGGUCCCGAGCGUUGUCCGGAUUUAUUGGGCGUAAAGCGAGCGCAGGCGGUUUCAUAAGUCUGAAGUUAAAGGCAGUGGCUUAACCAUUGUACGCUUUGGAAACUGUGGGACUUGAGUGCAGAAGGGGAGAGUGGAAUUCCAUGUGUAGCGGUGAAAUGCGUAGAUAUAUGGAGGAACACCGGUGGCGAAAGCGGCUCUCUGGUCUGUAACUGACGCUGAGGCUCGAAAGCGUGGGGAGCAAACA
rnacentral:rRNA from 1 species